GGUUUGACUGCCUGUCCUUCCCUGCCAUUUGUCAAUGAGAAAACAGGACCUUCAGAGAUCUCUGUUUCCAGUGUGGUUUAGUGACCAUAUCAUGUCGAAAAGUUCCUUCCACAGAAGAGAGGAAUAUAUUUUCCUCUCUUAUGGAGCCACUGUCCACCAG